CGAAAGUUGGCGGAGCCCCUCCAUCCGCGAGUGGCUUCAGUAUCACAGAUAAACAAAUCGAAACGCAUCAAGAAUAUAUAUGACAAAACCACCAAGUGCCCGAGCAACCUCUCUCUCCUCUCUCUCUCUCUCUCUCUGUAGCAGCUCCAUCGGAUUUCGCAAAUCCCUAGCUCUCGCCUUCUUCUUUAUGCCGCUUCGGAUCCGUUCCUCGCCCUCCUGCUCCGAUCCGUAGCUUCUUCAUCCAUGGAACGCGUUGUCGGCGGCAAGUACAAGCUCGGUCGCAAGAUCGGCAGCGGAUCCUUCGGCGAGAUCUUCCUCGCGUCGCACAUCGAUACGUUGGAGAUCGUCGCCGUGAAAAUUGAGAACAACAAGACAAAACAUCCCCAGCUGCUUUAUGAGGCCAAAUUGUACAACAUUCUUCAAGGAGGGAGUGGUAUUCCUAGCUUCAAGUGGGCUGGUGCAGAUGGAGAAGAUAACGUACUUGUUCUCGAUUUGCUCGGACCCAGUCUUGAGGACUUGUUCGUGUACUGUGGGAGGAAGUUUUCGUUAAAAACGGUCAUCAUGCUGGCCGAUCAAAUGCUUACCAGAAUUGAGUACGUGCACUCGAAGGGAUUUCUUCACAGAGACAUCAAACCUGAUAACUUCCUCAUGGGUCUUGGUCGGAAAGCAAAUCAGGUUUAUAUAAUUGAUUUUGGGCUUGCAAAAAGAUAUCGAGAUGCUACAACCAACCGGCAUAUCCCAUAUAGGGAGAACAAAAAUUUAACUGGCACUGCAAGGUAUGCGAGUUGUAAUACUCAUCUUGGCAUCGAACAAAGCCGUCGAGAUGAUCUAGAGUCACUUGGAUAUGUACUGCUAUAUUUUCUUAGAGGAAGCCUCCCAUGGCAGGGAUUGAAGGCAGCCACAAAGAAGCAAAAAUAUGAUAAAAUAUGUGAGAAGAAGCUAUCAACUCCAAUUGAGGUUUUGUGCAAAUCUCAUCCGGUGGAAUUCGCCUCAUAUUUCCAUUAUUGUCACUCAUUGACAUUUGAUCAACGACCAGAUUAUGGAUUUUUAAAGCGUCUUUUCCGCGACUUGUUUUCUCGUGAAGGAUAUGAAUUGGACUAUGUGUUUGACUGGACCAUCCUUAAGUACCAGCAAGCCCAAAAGAGCAAAACUCAGCCUCGGAUGUCUCCAGUUCCUGUGGGAAGCAGCAAUCCUGCGGUGCCACUGAAAAUGGAAACUAAUCAAGGUACUGUUAAUGCUUCCUAUUCGAUUGAGGCCAAAGAGCGUGUUAGAUUGAGUGGUGCUGGCGGUCCUGCCGUACAGAUGCAAUUCAAGUCGCCGAAGGGCAAGAACCCGAGAGAUGAACAACCUGCUAGCAAGCAUGCUAUCGGUGAUGCUGGCAUGCCAUCUGCUUCCUUUCCUCUGGGAGGUAUGGCCAAAAGGAAUACUUUGAAAAACCAAUUUUUAGCUGAAGCUGCGAACUCUGGCAAUGACAAUGGUAAUAGAGUUGGUCAGUCAAGCAGCUGGAUUUCAUCCCUCCAGCGUAAUUCAUCGGCCAAGUAAUUAGUGUGAUGAAUAAUUGGUUGAGGACAAUCUUCUUGCUUCGCUGGAGGCUUCGAAUGUGCAGGGACGUGCUCUGGCCGAUGUCUUUCAGUCAUUUCUAGGGAUGUUUCCAUGGGGAGACGAUCUUCUACUUGGAAUCCGGCUGGCAGGUUUUUGAUAAUCUACUAGCAAAAGCUGGCAUGCUCCAAAUGUUUUCUGAAUCCAGUGAAUUGGGAUCCAGUGAAUUGCAUUAGUUCUUCUAUAGGCAUCAGCUGGCAUUGUUCCUCUCAAGGUGACUACAACCAAUUGGUGACUAUGAUAUGUAGACCAUGAUGAAGUCUGUUUGUUGUACAGAGACGUCACAAAUUAUAGCAACCUUGUAUUUAUGGGAUUAUGUAGUGCUGAAUUCAGACAGAGGGUGUCUGGACUCUGGAACUUCCCAGGAGCUUCUUUUACCUCUGGUGCUUACUUGUUUCCACCGCAUAUGAGAAGCAUUUGCAGCCAGAGGGAUCUUUGACCGAAGAACAGCAUGCACUCUCACUUGCACAUGAGGCAAACAUUAACUUGUGGAUUUCACAAAUGUACUUUUUUCUCUGCUUUUUUUAGGCUAUUCCAUCCACAUAGUGUAUGCUCCGAUAAAUUCCGAUCAUUGAUAUACGGUCACAGUUCAGGUUCCUGAAACAUUUCAUAGAUGUUCUCUAUACAUGGGGACAUCUUUCUUCAAGAGCUCUUGCGCUUGGAGAUCAGGACAGUGAGCGCAGGUUUGCAGGAACUCAUGAUUUUUCUUCUUACUGGUCCGUCAUGAUUUUGAAAGCUGAUAUGUAUUAUGGUGGACCUUGGUUCUUUAGCUUCGUGUGGGAGUGGGUCCUAACAAAUCUUUAAUUGGAUGAUAGUGGUUGGUUCUCUUCCUCCUCAAGAACUUACAAGAUCAGAUUAGUAGCUUGGCAUAUGAGUUAUUUGUCAUGUAGCGUGUCAAAUCUGGAAUACUGCAGGAUUAAGCAUGCCUAACCUCCGUUUCAGGCCAAGGGAAGGGAUGAGCCUAAGUUGGAAGAUCAUUGACUGAAUUUGGUAUAACAAUUUUUUUUCCCCUUUCCUUCUGGUGGAGGUGGCAUAACAAGUCUGAAAAUAAUUUGGGUGUACUUAUUGCACUUGGCGUUCUCUUAUUAGGUGUCGAAUCCCUUAUAUUUGCGAGACGAUAUAACUUGUUUGAAUGCACUCGCAGUCGACGCAUCACUUAGUAUUUAAAACUUUGAAGUACCCAUCUUCCAGGUUUUAUCUAAGUAUGGUUGAAAUGCUUGAAUUUUGUCGGUUCAAUUCAACUAUAAGUCGUCGCAGUACUGUCAUGGUAAAACAGUCGAGAGAAAGCUAGCAAACAGCUUGUGGCAUUUUGGUCUCUUGCCAUUCAUGUUCAGACGUCGGAGAUCAGGAAUGGGAUCGAUCCGCAGCAUAUCUUCUCGGCAUGCAGCCAAGAAAGGGCAUGACAAGUACGGACGAUGUGAUGUAACCACGUUAGAUUGGGAUAAAGAAAGCGAUGACCAUGUGGCGUGUAUUGUUCUGUUUAGAGCUGGUGAUUAACGCGACGCAGAUAUGCAUAGGAUGCUUCCACAUGA